AGCAGUCGCCGCGGGAAUACGAAGGGGGCUAGCGUUGCUCGGAAUCACUGGGCGUAAAGGGUGCGUAGGCGGGUCUUUAAGUCAGGGGUGAAAUCCUGGAGCUCAACUCCAGAACUGCCUUUGAUACUGAAGAUCUUGAGUUCGGGAGAGGUGAGUGGAACUGCGAGUGUAGAGGUGAAAUUCGUAGAUAUUCGCAAGAACACCAGUGGCGAAGGCGGCUCACUGGCCCGAUACUGACGCUGAGGCACGAAAGCGUGGGGAGCAAACAGGAUUAGAUACCCCAGUAGUCCCUGUCUCUUAUAC
rnacentral:rRNA from 1 species